rnacentral:rRNA from 1 species
AACGAACGCUGGCGGCAUGCCUAACACAUGCAGGUCGAACGAGACCUUCGGGUCUAGUGUCGCACGGGUUCGUAACGCGUGGGAACCUGCCCUUAGGUUCGGCAUAACUCUCCGACAGGGGUGCUAAUACCGGAUAAUGUCUUCGGCCCAAUGAUUUAUUGCCUUUGGAUGGGCGCGAGUUGGAUUAGCUGGUUAGUAGGGUAAAAGCCUCACAAGGCGACAAUCCAUAGCUGGUCUGAGAGGAUGAUCAGCCACACUGGGACUAGGACGCGGCCCGGACUCCUACGCGAUGGAGCAGAGCGGAAUAGUGGACAAUGGGCGAAGGCAUGAUCCACUAAUGCCCCGAGAGUGAUGAAGUUAUUAGAGUUGAAAUGCUCUAGUAACCAGGAAGAUAAUGACAGUACCGAAACAGUAAGCCACGGCUAACUACGUG